GGGCACUUGGCACAGUUGGUAGCGCGCACGCUUCGCAUUUUCAGGGACUGCGUGAGGUCGUGGGUUCAACUCCCACAGUGUCCA
rfam:Rhizopogon vesiculosus strain AM-OR11-056 contig36795, whole genome shotgun sequence.